rnacentral:misc_RNA from 1 species
GAAAUGCGAUAAGUAAUGUGAAUUGCAGAAUUCAGUGAAUCAUCGAAUCUUUGAACGCACCUUGCGCUCCUUGGUAUUCCUUGGAGCAUGCCUGUUUGAGUAUCAUGAAAUCUUCAAAGUAAAUCUUUUGUUAACUCAAUUGGUUUCUACUUUGGUAUUGGAGGUCUUUGCAGCUUCACACCUGCUCCUCUUUGUUCAUUAGCUGGAUCUCAGUGUUAUGCUUGGUUCCACUCGGCGUGAUAAGUUAUCUAUCGCUGAGGACACUGUAAAAGGUGGCCAAGGUAAAUGCAGAUGAACCGCUUCUAAUAGUCCAUUGACUUGGACAAUACUUUUAUGAUCUGAUCUCAAAUCAGGUACGACUCCCCGCUCACCUUACGC